CCUACGGGCGGCAGCAGUCGAGAAUCAUUCACAAUGGGGGAAACCCUGAUGGUGCGACGCCGCGUGGGGGAAUGAAGGUCUUCGGAUUGUAAACUCCUGUCAUGUGGGAGCAAAUUAAAAAGAUAGUACCACAAGAGGAAGAGACGGCUAACUCUGUGCCAGCAGCCGUGGUAAUACAGAGGUCUCAAGCGUUGUUCGGAAUCACUGGGCGUAAAGCGUGCGUAGGCUGUUUCGUAAGUCGUGUGUGAAAGGUGCGGGCUCAACCCGCGGACGGCACAUGAUACUGCGAGACUAGAGUAAUGGAGGGGUAACCGGAAUUCCCGGUGUAGCAGUGAAAUGCGUAGAUAUCAAGAGGAACACUCGUGGCGAAGGCGGGUUCCUGGACAUUAACUGACGCUGAGGCACGAAGGCCAGGGGAGCGAAAGGGAUUAGAUACCCUGGUAGUC
rnacentral:rRNA from 1 species